CCCUUAGAUGUUCUGGGCCGCACGCGUGCUACACUGAGUGGAUCAGCGGGUCAGGUUGCGCGAAAGUGUUUCCUAAUCUUGAAAUCCGCUCGUGAUGGGGAUUGACGGUUGCAAUUUUCCGUCAUGAACGAGGAAUACCUUGUAAGCGCGGGUCAUCAUCCCGCGCUGAAUACGUCCCUGCCCUUUGUACACACCGCCCGUCGCUCCUACCGAUUGAGUGGUCCGGUGAGGCUUUGGGAUCUGGGCAAAAAGAGCGUUUCGCUCGUUUGGCUCGGAAAACUCAGUCGAACCUUAUCAUUUAGAGGAAGGAGAAGUCGUAACA
rnacentral:rRNA from 1 species